AGGGACUUGUCAGCUCCUUGCAAGACCAAGGCAUUUUGAACGACUACUUUGACAAACUGAAAGGGUUACAAACGAUCCUUGCUUUGUCCAUGAAUGUAUCACCAUCUUCCUUCGUGAAGCUCAAGAUUACAGAGCAGAACUCACAACAAAUCUGAGUGAGUCUGAUGUCAACUAUAUCCUAAGGUGCAUCAUGCAUGAUGUUGCUGUCAAGCUCAAAGCCGGAUGGUCCUUGUUUGUCAAGAGCUCCGAGAUGCAAGUGAAGCAAAGAACAAACAAGGGUGCCUUGUGGGUCUAGACAAUGUCAACCGUGAAUAUCUUGUCACUCGAGAGAAUUUGAAUCGUAUUGUGGAUGCCAAUUGGAAACUUUAUGUUAGAAAGUAUGAAAUUACCCAUAAAAAGGGAGAAGGAAGGAUUAGGUUGAAUAAUAAUAAAAUAUUAUUCCCAUCAGUUACUUCACUAAAUAUGAAAACUGUUCAACACAUUCUUUAACAAAGAUUU